rnacentral:tRNA from 1 species
GAGAUUUUAGGUUAUUGCUGUUAAACUGGAAGUCUUCAAAACUUCUGAUGAGGAGGAGCGUCUCCUCAAAUCUUG